rnacentral:rRNA from 1 species
AGGGGGGGGUUUCCUAUACAUGCAGUCGACGCGUUGGCCCAAUUGAUUGAUGGUGCUUGCACCUGAUUGAUUUUGGUCGCCAACGAGUGGCGGACGGGUGAGUAACACGUAGGUAACCUGCCCAGAAGCGGGGGACAACAUUUGGAAACAGAUGCUAAUACCGCAUAACAGCGUUGUUCGCAUGAACAACGCUUAAAAGAUGGCUUCUCGCUAUCACUUCUGGAUGGACCUGCGGUGCAUUAGCUUGUUGGUGGGGUAACGGCCUACCAAGGCCAUGAUGCAUAUCCGAAUUGAAAGACUGACCCGCCACAAUGGGAC